rnacentral:rRNA from 1 species
UCAUUAUCAAAAUCACCAUUCACAAGAAUUAAGGUUCUUGGAUUUUAGCAACUUUAAAUACAUAUUACAUUUUCUAACCCUCACUAAAUUCAUACGUCCCUAAAGGGGAAGACUAAACCGCAGAAGGCUAAAAAUGUUAAUUUUAUUUAUUACACCUAUCAUCGAUAUAGUUAAAAUCUUACUUGCUUAAAAAUUAAAUUCUACUUUAAAUAAAAAGAUAGUGAUUAAAUACAUAUGGGGAUAAGUAAUAUCUUAUCCACUUAUAUAAAAAUUCGUCUUAAGUAGGCGCGAUUUAUACCGCGUAGUCUUAAAUUUAUAUAAAAUUUAUAUAUUAAAUAAAUAUUCAGAGUAAAAAAAGUUAUAAUUUUACCCAAAUUUUCUGAAUUAGGAUAUACCCAGCUACUCUUUAUGGGAUCUGUGCCCCGCAUAAACUGCCACCUAGCCGUUGUUCUCAUUAUUUAUUACCUUUGUGAAAAUCAACUUUUAUGUACUUGUGAAAAAUAACACACUACCCUGUAGUUUUUAGAAUUUGCUUUUGUAAGUGAUUAAUUCACUUACAAAAUUCUCAGGCAAUAAUAGUUAUCAUUUACUUUAUACUAUUAUUGAAUAAUUAACACCGGUUGAUAAAUAGAUUAAGUCAUUUUAUUUAAUUAAAAAUAAAGUGGAGGACAAUGUAGUCCCCAGCAAUGUGAUAGACUCAAAAAGGUGUUUCAAUUACGUCUACGACUACCUUAUCCCUACGGUUGGUCCGAUCACACGCAAUGACUAGAAAUU